rnacentral:rRNA from 1 species
AAUUUUUUAUAAAGUUUUAUCUUAAUAAAAAGUGAAAUUAGAUUAUUAAAUGUAAAAUUUUAUUAAAUUUUAAUAUAAUGAAGCUUAAAAAAUUGAGGUAUGAAUUAGGAUUAGAUACCCUAGUACACUUUAAAUUAAUUGUAAAAGACUAGAAUACUAAAAGUUAUAUUCUUUAAAUUUAAAAAAUUUGGCGGUAUUUUAGUCUAGUUAGAGGAACCUGUUUUUUAAACGACAAUACACGCAUUAUCUUACUUAUUCUAGUAAUCAGUUUGUAUACCGUCAUUAUAAGAUAAUUUAAGAGAGAAUAUUAUUAAGAUCAAUAUUAUGUGAGUAUAUUAGAUCAAGGUGCAGCUAAUGAAUAAGAAAAAAUGGGUUACAAUAAAAAUUAUUUAUACGGAUUUAAUAUUUAAAUAUAUUAAUGAAGGCGGAUUUAAUUGUAAAAUAAAAUUAAUAGGUUUU